GAGUUUGAUCCUGGCUCAGGAUGAACGCUAGCGGCAGGCCUAAUACAUGCAAGUCGGACGGGAUCUAGGUCUAAGCUUGCUUAGAUUUAGUGAGAGUGGCGCACGGGUGCGUAACGCGUGAGCAACCUACCCAUAUCAGGGGGAUAGCCCGGAGAAAUCCGGAUUAACACCGCAUGACACAACGACUCGGCAUCGAGAUGUUGUUAAAUAUUUAUAGGAUAUGGAUGGGCUCGCGUGACAUUAGCUAGUUGGUAAGGUAACGGCUUACCAAGGCUACGAUGUCUAGGGGCUCUGAGAGGAGAAUCCCCCACACUGGUACUGAGACACGGACCAGACUCCUACGGGAGGCAGCAGUAAGGAAUAUUGGUCAAUGGAGGGAACUCUGAACCAGCCAUGCCGCGUGCAGGAUGACUGCCCUAUGGGUUGUAAACUGCUUUUGUCCAGGAAUAACCACCACUACGUGUAGUGGCUUGAAUGUACUGGAAGAAUAAGGAUCGGCUAACUCCGUGCCAGCAGCCGCGGUAAUACGGAGGAUCCGAGCGUUAUCCGGAUUUAUUGGGUUUAAAGGGUGCGUAGGCGGCUCAUUAAGUCAGGGGUGAAAGACGGCAGCUCAACUGUCGCAGUGCCUUUGAUACUGAUGAGCUUGAAUGUGGUUGAAGAUGGCGGAAUGAGACAAGUAGCGGUGAAAUGCAUAGAUAUGUCUCAGAACUCCGAUUGCGAAGGCAGCUGUCUAAGUCAUUAUUGACGCUGAUGCACGAAAGCGUGGGGAUCGAACAGGAUUAGAUACCCUGGUAGUCCACGCCCUAAACGAUGAUAACUCGAUGUUGGCGAUACACAGUCAGCGUCUUAGCGAAAGCGUUAAGUUAUCCACCUGGGGAGUACGCCCGCAAGGGUGAAACUCAAAGGAAUUGACGGGGGCCCGCACAAGCGGAGGAGCAUGUGGUUUAAUUCGAUGAUACGCGAGGAACCUUACCCGGGCUUGAAAGUUACUGAAUUAUCUAGAGAUAGAUAAGUCCUUCGGGACAGGAAACUAGGUGCUGCAUGGCUGUCGUCAGCUCGUGCCGUGAGGUGUUGGGUUAAGUCCCGCAACGAGCGCAACCCCUAUGUUUAGUUGCCAGCAUGUAAUGAUGGGGACUCUAAACAGACUGCCAGCGUAAGCUGUGCGGAAGGUGGGGACGACGUCAAGUCAUCAUGGCCCUUACGUCCGGGGCUACACACGUGCUACAAUGGAUGGUACAGCGGGCAGCUACCUGGUAACAGGAUGCUAAUCUCGAAAAGCCAUUCACAGUUCGGAUUGAGGUCUGCAACUCGACCUCAUGAAGUUGGAUUCGCUAGUAAUCGCGUAUCAGCAAUGACGCGGUGAAUACGUUCCNCGGGCCUUGUACACACCGCCCGUC
rnacentral:rRNA from 1 species